UGAGGAAUAUUCGGCAAUGGGCGAAAGCCUGACCGAGCCAUGCCGCGUGAGUGAUGAAGGCCUUAGGGUUGUAAAGCUCUUUCGCUAGGGACGAUAAUGACGGUACCUAGUAAAGAAGCCCCGGCUAACUUCGUGCCAGCAGCCGCGGUAAUACGAAGGGGGCUAGCGUUGUUCGGAAUUACUGGGCGUAAAGCGCGCGUAGGCGGACCGUUAAGUCGGGGGUGAAAGCCCAGAGCUCAACUCUGGAACUGCCUUCGAUACUGGCGGUCUCGAGUGCGGGAGAGGUGAGCGGAAUACCGAGUGUAGAGGUGAAAUUCGUAGAUAUUCGGUGGAACACCAGUGGCGAAGGCGGCUCACUGGCCCGGUACUGACGCUGAGGUGCGAAAGCGUGGGGAGCAAACAGGAUUAGAUACCCCCGUAGUCC
rnacentral:rRNA from 1 species